AACCAAUUUCUCCCUCUUCUUUCUCUCAAAUUUUCUCGUUGAAGCCGCCGACGCCCUCUUCGUGUUUGCCUCAAAUCCUCGUCGGUGAUCUCAUCAGAGUCAGAGGUAAGUUUCGGUCCUUCUUUUUCUCUUCCUUCCCCUCCUUCCCAUGGCAUCGCGCACCCCUGCCAGUCAUCGGAUUCAUCAAAAAUCCCAUAAAAACAAAAACUCUAUUUUUUUCUAUUUUGAACGAGCAUUCUCCCUUCCUUUUUCGGCCAUCAAUGCCAUCAUUCAUGGUGCCGCAUCCAUGGAUCAUGACCCCCACAUUCUUAGCUUUCUUUUUCAAAGGUUUGGCCAUCGAUGAUCGGUCGGUGAUUGAAAAAAUCAAAGAAAAAAGGGGUGUUCUUCUAUUUUUUUGAGUUUUUUUUAUUUUCUUUUAUUGGCCGACCACUAGCUAUCGAUCAUUCCUCGCCCCACCGCCGUCAGCCGUCACUGUCGGACCUCCACCUGUGCCGCCGUCACUCAUCAUCAGUCUUUCGAUCAAGAGCCAUAAACCACCAUUCUCCUUGGUCGGCCAAAGAAAAAGAAGAAGGAAAGAAGAAGGAAAGAAAAGAAAAGAAAAGAAAAAGAGAAAAA
rnacentral:lncRNA from 1 species